rnacentral:tRNA from 1 species
CGCGGGGUAGAGCAGUGGCAGCUCGAGUGGUUCAUAACCGCUAGGUCGUGGGUUCGAUUCCCACCCCCGCUACCA